CUUCGGCGGGAUGCGAGGCCUAGAAGGGCGACGGCGCCCGGGUGGCGAUGCGGCGUGCGGGCUUCGGCGGGAAAGCGCAGGCAGGCAGGAGCAGCAGCCGCGGAGCUUCCGGGGGAAGCAUCGAGCGACCCUUGGGGCGCUGUUCGGCUCUCCCGUUAGUACUAUACCGCAUUCAAACUGUGGCAGAACAGUAACUUUAAAACCAAGCAAAAUCUCGACCUAAACAGAACCGUUCGAUAGGCCAUAGGUUGAGUACCAAAAACAGGAGGGCGUUGGUAGAAGGCUGAAAUAACUUGAAAAGAAGAGAAUUGCGAGGGAAAUUUGAAGAAUAAGGAAUGGUUUCGGACCUCGGUAGGAAUGUAAAGUGCAUUCUAUAUAGCUUGAUUUGCGGACAAAGUUAGGAAGCCUCAUAAUAGUUCCAAAGCGUAGCUUACUCGACAAGAAUUGCAAGCUUAAUGCCGGCAUUUACUUUAGAUUGUACAGAUGGUGUUGAGUUAUGCAACGCAACUAAGCAGUGGAGUAAAAGAAUUGUUGUGAGCAUAUAGUCUUGCCUAAACUCCUGGCCAUUGUAGGAAAUCUCCCAGUGUAAGCCCCUGAACAAGAGCUUCAGAAGAUCAAGACUCCCAUCUGCAAAGGGUUUAACAAAUGAUCCAGAGGCUAUAAAAGGAAGAUAUACUGGUUCAUUACUUGCAGCAAGAUUAACAUGGGGACUAGCUGCAUUGCUAUAAACCUCCGUUUGCCUCUACCUGCAAGCACUCUAGCAUGGAUGGACCCUGGAUAAUCAAAUAGGUGGUGUUGCAAAGAAAGUUGAGUCCUCGUGACUGGACUAGACUGAAAAAUAAGCAUCGGGAUAUCUCUGAAGUAAAAAGGUCUUGGGUGACUUUGAAGAGCUCUUUGUACUUACACUGCUGAGAAAGGUUCGGGCUAGGGGAUUAACUAAUUGGAGUACUGAUAGAAGGCCAGGCUCCAAUAUUCCUCUACUGAGACAGAGUGAGGAAACAUGAAGAGGACUGGCUUGAGGCAUCAGAGAACCGAUUAAACCGGCUGGUGUCCUGGCAGGACUUCUGUCCCUCUGAGGAAUCCACCAUUUUGAACUGGCUGUUGACUUGAAAGGAUGCGAGAAGCCCUGCCCUUUCUCCAGAAGAGAUUUAAUUUCAAGUGUUGGAAGAGAAGCUUGAAACCAACAGCUGCGGCAUUGGGAUAAUAAAAUGAUUGUUAAUCCUA